rnacentral:rRNA from 1 species
UGGAGGCAGCAGUGAGGAAUCUUCCGCAAUGGACGAAAGUCUGACGGAGCAACGCCGCGUGUAUGAAGAAGGCCUUCGGGUUGUAAAGUACUGUUGUUGGGGAAGAACGGCUCUUGUGAAAAUAUUGCAAGGGAUUGACGGUACCCAACGAGGAAGCCCCGGCUAACUACGUGCCAGCAGCCGCGGUAAUACGUAGGGGGCAAGCGUUGUCCGGAAUCAUUGGGCGUAAAGGGCGCGUAGGCGGGCAUAUAAGUCUGAUGUGAAAGUGCGGAGCUUAACUCCGUAAAGCAUUGGAAACUGUGUGUCUUGAGGACAGGAGAGGAAAGUGGAAUUUCUAGUGUAGCGGUGAAAUGCGUAGAUAUUAGGAGGAACACCAGUGGCGAAGGCGACUUUCUGGACUGUAACUGACGCUGAGGCGCGAAAGCGUGGGGAGCGAACAGGAUUAGAUACCCUAGUA